UACAGAGGUCCCAAGCGUUUGUUCGGAUUCAUUGGGCGUAAAGGGUGCGUAGGCGGUCUGUCGCGUCGGCUGUGAAAACCCGGGGCUCAACUCCGGGCCUGCAGUCGAUACGGGCAGACUAGAGUUCGGUAGGGGAGACUGGAAUUCCUGGUGUAGCGGUGAAAUGCGCAGAUAUCAGGAGGAACACCGGUGGCGAAGGCGGGUCUCUGGGCCUUACCUGACGCUCAGGUGCGAAAGCUAGGGGAGCGAACAGG
rnacentral:rRNA from 1 species